GACAGGAUCAGGUCCAGCAUGGACACACCACUGACAUGAUCAGGCCCAGCAUGGACACACCAUUGACAGGAUCAGGUCCAGCUUGGACACACCACUGACAGAAUCAGGCCCAGCAUGGACACACCAUUGACAGGAUCAGCUAGGUUUGGGCCUGUACACACAAACCAUCGACGGGAUCAGCCGGGAUUAGAACAGCGUUUCCCAGUUCACUGACACAACCUGUAAGCAUCCCCAGCCCACUGAGGCCUCCUUAGUCACCCCUUCUCACAAGCAUUCAGAAAAUAUUUCUUAAAUUCAAAGAUGUUGUUACCAAGGUAUAAUGUGAAAUAUUAAUCAAAUAUUAAU